GGCGCAUGUUGCAUUUCUGUUCGACAGUGCCGGUCUCCUUCAUGGGCACUCGGGGAAGACGUUCUCACCAGCAUCCCAGAGGAGUCUGAGGCAAGUCCUUCACUCGCACUAUGAGGAGAAGACUGACGAAUAUUUUAGGAAACCAGGCCUAGGAGGCCGAGAGCCUGGACUAGAUGGAUGCCGGAGUUUGGGUAAGGAGGUACAUCAGAGCAAGACCCCGAAACUGAAACGAGAGAUAAAGUUGGCCUUUUCAAGUGCUGGAACAGUGCUCUGGUAACCUGCCCUGUGUUUGCGGCUCUUUAAACGACACAGUAGUCACGCCAUGUUUCUCUGGCUGCAGAGGUUAAAAAGUUUUUGCCUAA